GAUGAACGCUGGCGGCGUGCUUAACACAUGCAAGUCGAACGGUGAAGCGCCUUCCUUUUUGGUGGGUGUGGAUGAGUGGCGAACGGGUGAGUAACACGUGAGUAACCUGCUCCCUCUUUCUGGAUAACCGCAUGAAAGUGUGACUAAUACGGGAUAUUUUGGGUCUGUUGGAUGAUGGGUCUGGGAAAGAUUUUGUUUCGGUGGUGGAUGGGCUCGCGGCGGAUUAGCUUGUUGGUGGGGUGAUGGCUUACCAAGGCGGCGAUGCGUAGCCGCCCUGAGAGGGUGGUCGGCCGUCACACAGCUGAGGCGAGACCGAGCAGACUACGGGAGGAGGCAGUAGGGAGUAUUAUUGCACGGUCGGAGGAAGGCUGGUGCAGCGACGCGGCGGGGAUGAUGGAGGCCGUCGGGUAGUAAUCUGCUUUCGGGAGAGAAGAAGGGCGGAAUCGUUUAUGCAUGUGUUGACGGUAGCUAGAUAAGAAGCGCCGGCUAACUACGUG
rnacentral:rRNA from 1 species